CUGUUUAAUAACUUUUAUCUGACGGUUCGUGAUAGCUCUCUUUUGAGUCCGGAUGUGCUCUUCAAGAUAUUACUCCUGUGUGACAUCUGGGAUUCAUUUAUUUGUAUUAUCAUGCUGAAAGCAGCAGACAUUGAGAGGAUUCCUCCAGAGAUCUUGUCCUUCCUGGAGAGAAGCUUCUGCUGUCUACUGGACAUCUCCUUCAGCUUCCUAACGUUCCUUCAUGAGAGAUGUGCACCCAACACUUGUGCUCUGAUGUUCUGAGAUUUGUGUCUCAGGCCAACACCAGACUUCACCUGACUUCAUCAUCUUCCAUCAGAAUCCUUGACGCGAGUGCUCUUCACUUCCUGUGACACUCACAGCUGCUCACUUCCUGCUGGAUUUCUCUAUAUUAACUAUAUCUUAUAUUGGACUGUUUUUGGGCAAUUUAUCAAUCAGUUUUUAUAACAUAGUGUCACGUUCUCUGGACUCUUUGUUUAUGUUUUUGUCUCGUGCCAUG